UGAGCUUUGUUUUGCCCUGUCAAAGAGUGGUGCAUCAGGCACUUUCCUUGAUCACAGGAGGACUCUGGCCUCCUGAUCCCGGGGAGAAAGAAAUACCAUCUUAAUGUUCUGGUUCAGGAUUUUGCCCACGUACCUCCUCUCUUGCAUAGGAUUUUAUUACCAGGUGAUUUUGAAAGCUGAGAGUUGAGUCCUACAAUCCUACAUUUCAGUGUGAAGAGCUAAGAACAAGGUUUGAGAUAAUUGUCAGAAGAUGUACGAGCAUGUCACUAAUGAUUUAGGGAAUGACACUCACAUUUCAAAGUUGUUGCAUUCCUAGCAUGAGUGUGUGAGUAUUCAGGGGAACUGUAAGUGCAGAUGUCAUAAUGCAAUCCCAGAGUAAGGCUGUUGUCUGAAGAAAAACAAACAAACAAACAAAAAAAACAAUAGGGAACACAAGCAGUACCUAUCAUCUUAAAAGACAUUUUUCAUUAUAAUCUAAUAACAUUCUAACUUUUCUUUGAGGAUCCCAUAUCAAACCUACCUUCUGGUAGAUCAUGAGCGGGACCAGCACUCGACAGCAUUGUUCUAUAUUCACCCCUCUUUGAGCCUCUUUUGAUUUUAUUCUUUUCUGUCUUAUACACUUCGUUCAUCAUCUUUUUUUUUCAAGCUCGAGAAUCCUAAACCUCUCUAAUCUUUUUCCAUAUGGGAAUGAUUUCACACAUCUGCACCUCAUAAACUUGCCCUUCUUUGUAGAUUUUCUAAUUCUAAAACUUCUUUUAAAGGAAAGCUAACAGAUGCAUGCAAAACUCAAGUAGUGACAGUAGUUAUGAAUUUGUACUUAGGCCACUACUGUAAUGAUAAUUUCUUGUUUUGUUCUCCAGUCCAAUUCUAUACAUGCAUUUGUCUUUUGAGUUCAACUGAGCAUUGAGCUCAUCUGUACAGUUGUCACAGUAUUGUCCAUAGAAAUGACUUCCUGAGUAGUAAUAAUCUACACUGAGUUCUCUGCUGUGUGUUUGUGGAGUUGUGACUAUUUUUCCAGUUGAUGCUACUUUGUGUUUUUCAGCACUGCACUGCAUCAGAUCUCAGCUGACUCCAGCAGCCUGUGCUUGGAGAACUUUUUGUAGCACUUUUCGGUAAUUCUGCUUUUGACUAUUCUAAGUCUGUAAGAUCAGAAAACCUCCCUGCCCACUUCCUUUCCAGAUUAUUAAUGAAUGUGCUGAACAGCAAAAUCAUCCUAUCUCCAUUGUAAAAUGUCUUAUUAUUCCAAUCCUUUUUAUGUGUCUUUUCAUCAGUGUUAAUCCAUGCAUGGAACUUUCUCUUAGUACUAUGACAGCUUAUUUUCCAGAAGGCUUUUAUGAUAGGCCUAUUUUGGAAAUUUCCUGUACAAUGUUCACUGUUACCAACGUGUUCCUUUACUCUUCCAGAGAGCAAUACCAAUCUGUGAGGCAUGACUAUCUGCUUCAAGAAAAUGUUCUUUUACUCCCUUAUGCAUUUUCACCCAUAUGUCUCUUAAUUCUGUUUUCUACCGUGGCUUGCAUCAUUUUGCUCAAUAUAGUACUCAAGAUUCUUGUUUCCUAGAUGAGCCCACAGUUUUGCUAAUUAUGAGUGUUACUAACUGCACAACGAAUAAGCACGUGGUUUUGUUUGAGGGAGUAAUGUCUGCUGCUAAAGCAGCUCUGCAGUGAUUGCAUAUAUGAGGAAUACUGAAAUACUGGCAAGAAGUCAUGGGAAAAUAACAGUGAAUGGUGCAGGUGGGGUACAUGUGUUGAACACCAAUGGAGAGAAAAUCCUGUGGGCUCCAAAAGUACACAGCCAGUUGCAGCACUUAAAAAUGUACCAGAGGUUAACUUUUCUGAGGAAUUAUUUUUAGAAUCUAAUAACGGGAUGUUGAAAUUGAGAAGUCUGAUAUCCUGUUCAGUUAUCUAGUAAUAAAUCAAGUUUCAUGCAUCUCCCUCUCAUCUGUCUUUCAUGUGAUGAGUGUCUGCCAGCCUACCUUUUGCUCAAACCAGAACAUAUCCUGCAGACAUGGACUGGACUGCCAUGGUUCUGAUGUUCUUCAGUGUCUGACUGUAAAUGUAUCCAAGAGUAUUACCCAAAUAAUUGCAGAGAAUUGCUGUAGAUGUCCAGCAGCUUUCACUGGAAUGUACACCAAAGCAAGACUCCUGCUUAGUUUUUUUCCUGAGCAAGAGAUACAGCAAAAAGACAAAUCUCUUAGACAGUAGCAGAAGUUGUGAUUGGUGUUUAGCACAGGCUGCCCAAUCAAGAGGAACCUGUUGAUGAAGCCUUCCUGUUCCAGCUACAAGAAGAAAUGCUCAUGGGCUCCCAUCCUAGUAGGGGACUCAAUCACUUGGAUAUUUUCUGGAAAAGAGGCACAGCAAGCUGUAACUUGUCCUGGAGACUCAUGGAGUGCAUUGAGGAUAACUUCUUAAUUGAGUCUUCACAGGUAAUCAAUUCUCCCAUAUUUUUCAAGUCUCUCACUUUCCUGAGCCACAAGACAGUGUCUGAACAGGUGAAGCUCCUCCACCCAUGACUGAAGAUUCAAUUUGAGACCGUCUGAUGAACCUGAGCUUGAAUAAGCCUAUGGGGCCCAAUGACAUGCAUCCCAUGACCCUGAAGGAACUGACUGAUGAAGAUGAGGGAGAGUUUAUAACCAGCAGUUCUACUAUGAAGAAACUUCUUCCUGGACCUCAGCCACUGCCUUUGAGCAGCUACCUCGUAAGCCAUAAAAUCUAACCAAGUGAAAAGGUGGCCACACAUUUCAAGCUAAGCUUCUCAUGUGAAAAAUGGACCUUUAAGCAAAUAACUUUUGAGUGAUAAUGGUACUCUAACUGAGUAUUAACCAUGCUGUAAGACUCUGUAUGAAUUCUGCUCCCAAAGGGCAGCAGACUUGCCAUCAUCAGAAAAUCACAUUUUCAGAGCAGGUGGACAUAAUUUUUAAGUCACCCCGUCUACUUUCCAAUGACACUCCACUCAAACCACUAUGUGACCUUUUACCUAAAGCCACUGUUUGACAUAUAUUUUAGAUCGUAGUGACUGCAUGAUUUGCUUUGACAAGCAUACUGAUGGCUUUGCCAUUAGAUGAGCUAGGACAAUGUCCUUCUCAAAAAUACGUGAAAAUAAGCUCGGAAGAGAAUACAUUGACCCUCAUCUAACCCACAAGCAAUUCAAGUGUACAUUACAGAAUACUUCUCUGAAACCUUUAUGAAAGAGCAGCUACUGUAGGACACCAUAUUUUGUACAUUCAAAGAGAGAAGUAGUGCAUAGGAGGAGAGACUAUCAGAGCUCAUUGGAGAACAGUCAAACUCGCAUUUCAAUAGCAUACCUACUGAAAAGGUGAAGUACUGCAAAACAUCUCACUGAAAACAUUGUCCUAAUGUUGUAUGUGGCUCAGCGGCUAUUUUCAAGGAGUUGAUUACCUCAAGUCAAUGUGUUACAUUGAAGAUUGUAUCAGAGCACAGAAUAGACCAGCAAAAGGCAAUUAUCCUGCUCUCUGAAGUGGGCUGUUUGUGUGUAACUUCAUUCAAAAUAAAGACCUUGAAUAGUGUGAUUGGGUUUCAUAAGGGAAUGCUCUUUGAUAAAAUUGGAAUGGUUGCUGAAAAUGAAUAGACAAGUUGUUUCCUCCAAAACAGCAGGUUUGGGGGUGUAGACAGUAAGAAACAGAAAAGCACAAGUUCCUCACUUAGAAGUUUGUAAAAGAAGGUUCUAAAAAAAUCUUAAACUGGACAAGAAAAAGAGAAAGAAGAAUGGAAAUGAUAAUACGUAUAAAGAGAUGCUUAGCCGAAGUGAAGGUAGUAAGUAAUGCAGUGUUCUCUAUGAGGGUUACUUGACAGCUUCCAUUCUACCAACUGUUGGGAAAGAUAUGUCAAUAAUUAAUGCUGUCAGCAGCUUUGCAUUAAGAAGCAGAGUGAAGUUCAGCUUGCCUGAUAAAUUUCUUAUCAGUAAAUUGCACCAAACAUGAGUUUGGUUAUCUUUUUUUUUUGUUGUUAUCAUUUUAUUUGUCAGUUAUUGUCCCUGUUAAAUACCAGUUCAGAGCUAUUACAGCCUUUUGCUUGAUAGUCACCUGAACCUAUCAUUCCUGUGAUAAAACAUCUGUCAAGCAUAGAAGAAAGAAUUCAGUUUGGUCCUACUCUAAUUUUAAAAGCAUAAACAAAGCUUUGAUAAACAAGAUCAUCAGAAGCCUGUGUUCCCACCAAGUUACCAAAUGAAUUUAAUAAAAACAUGAAGUCUGCCUCAGGUAGUAAUGUUUAAUAUUUCACUUUAAGGUACAAAGUGAUGGGUGCUUCUCUUUCUCCUUUAAAGGUUACAUUCCAAUUCUCUACUGUAAGACAGAGGUAGUGGUACAAAUUUCAGAAGCAGAGCAUUUUAUUUUCUUGUGAAAAGUUUUCCAUGCAUUGUGAAGAAAAGUAGUUGAAUCCCGUUAGGAAAAAAAAACUAGUAAGGCUCAAAUUGUACAGCCCUUGAA